CAUCCCUGUGUCACAGUUGAGCAACUGAAGCUUAGAAAGGGUGAGUAACAGGUAAACUGCGGUCCCAGGAGGCAAGGACUGAACCAGGCUGAGCUGGGCUAGCCAACUGCAGAGCCCAGGUCCUUACCAGGCCUCACUCUGAUGCCUCUGUUCCUUCCUUCCCUGCUGGUGGCCUUGACAAGUGGGCGACAGUCAAGAGCCUUAUCCUGUCCGUCUGGUUCUCUGGCUCCCAAAGUGCUAGGAUUACAGUCAUGAACCACCAUGCCUGGCCCUUUCUUUGUUUUGUUUUUUCUUAACCUCUAUUAAAACACUUUAAUGAUUUUUUUUGAGUGGCUCACACCUGUAAUCCCAACACUUUGGGAGGCCGAAGAGGGUGGAUCACUUGAGGUCAGGAGUUCAAGACCAGCCUGGCCAACAUGGUGAAACCCCAUCUCUACUAAAAAUACAAAAAUAUUGCACUCCAGCCUAGGAGACAAGAGCAAAGGAUAUGUGAUUUUAAAAUAUAUAUUGUAUAAUGAAAAUGAUAUGUGUCAACUUUCAGAUCUGCAAUAGAGUCAAUAUCUUCCAAAUGACCAAUGUAUUGCUGUUAAAAAAUCACGCAUGGGUAAAAGAUCCAUUCAGAGUGAAAGGCCCAUAAUGAACGUUGGGUUUUUGUUUUAGUAUUUUUUGUUUGUUUUGUUUUGUUUUGCUUUGUUUUGUUUUUUUGAGAUAGUGUCACUCUGCCGCCCAGGCUGUGGAAUGCAGUGGUGUGAUCUUGGGUCACUGCAGCCUCUGACUCCCGGGUUCAAGCGACUCUCGUGCCUGAGCAUCCCAAGUAGCUGGGACUAUAGGCACACACCACCAUGCCUGGCUAAUCUUUGUGUUUUUAGUAGAAACAGAGUUUCCCCCAUGUUGCCCAGGCUGGUCUCGAACUCCUGACCUGAAGUGAUCCUCCUGCCUUGGCCUCCCAAAGUGCUGGGAUUAUAGGCGUGAGCCACUGCGCCCAGCCCCCAUAAUGAAUUUUGAUGUAACCAAGUGAUGUGGUUUUAGAUUCCACAACUAACCUUUCUUUUUCCUGGAGACGGAGUUUCGCUCUUGUCACCCAGGCUGGAGUGCAGUGGUGCGAUCUCAGCUCACUGCAGCUUCCACCUUCUGGAUUCAAGCUAUUCUCAUGCCUCAGACUCCCGAGUAGCUGGGAUUACAGGCACCUGCCACCACACCCAGCUAAUUUUUGUAUUUUUAGUAGACAAGGGGUUUUGCCAUGUUGGCCAGGCUGGUCUUGAACUUCCGACCCUAGGUUAUCUGCUUGCCUCGGCCUCCCAAAGUGCUGGGAUUACAGGCAUGAGCCACUGCACCCAACCUCCCACGACUAACCUUUAAGAAAUUAUUACCUAUGAGUUUUGGCAGAGUAUCAAAGAAGACUACCUGCUAACACGGUGAAACCCCAUCAGUACUAAAAAUACAAAAACAAAAUUAGCUGGGCGUGGUGGCGGGCGCCUGUAGUCCCAGCUACUUGGGAGGCUGAGUCAGGAGAAUGGCGUAAACCUGGGAGGCGGAGCUUGCAGUGAGCCGAGAUCGCACCACUGCACUCCAGCCUGGGAACAGAGCGAGACUCUGUCUCAAAAAAAAAUAAAAUAAAAAAAUAAUAAUAAUAAUAAUAAAUAAAUAAAUAAAUAAUAAAAACACUUAAGACAUGGAGUUGUGUAUCCUACUUUGGCUUAUUUCUCAUAGGGAAAACAGCACUAUGUUCUAUCCCACUGCCCCAGCAGAGCCCAGCCUCCCCAACCAUAAACGCUGGUGUACUUGUCUGUUGGACCAAAGAUUAUAAGAGGCUUGAGGAAAGGUGACGGUGCCUUACUCAUGCAUGCAGCAUCCACCAAUGCCCGACUGCCAGUGGGUGGUGAGUAGAUACCAGGAGACUGAGUUCUUAGAGCUAUGGUCCUGGACCCAAGGGAAGGAUCUUGGAAGCCCUGUUGGUUAUGGAGGAUAGAGCUGCUUGCCUGCCUGACAGCAGCCCCUGCUGAACUCCACAGCCGCAGCUGGGAGCCAUUUAAAUAGCUGAUGCAGGGUGGGCUGGUGGCUACUGCCUGUAAUCCCACACUUUGGGAGGCUGAGGUGGGAGCACUGCUUCAGCCUAGGAGUUCAAAACCAGCCUGGGCACUAUAGCAAGGACCCUGUCUCUAAAAAAGAAAAAAAA
rnacentral:lncRNA from 10 species